rnacentral:rRNA from 1 species
UUGGGGGGUGAAUAUCCCAAGGCGCGUGAGAGAACCCUGGUUAAGGAACUCGCAAAUUGACACCGUAACUUCGGGAGAAGGUGUGCCGCUGGCGGUUAGUGACUUCGCGUCACGAAGCUGUCGGUGGUCGCAGUGAAAUGGCGGUUGUGACUGUUUACUAAAAACACAGGACUCUGCGAAGUCGUAAGACGACGUAUAGGGUCUGAUGCCUGCCCGGUGCUGGAAGGUUAAGGGGAUAUGUCAGCGCAAGCGAAGCAUUGAACCGAAGCCCCAGUAAACGGCGGCCGUAACAAUAACGGUCCUAAGGUAGCGAAAUUCCUUGUCGGGUAAGUUCCGACCUGCACGAUGGCAUAACAACAUCCGCACUGUCUCGACCAGGGACUCAGCGAAAUUACAUUGGGGGUGAAGAUGCCCUCUACCCGCGGAAAGACGGAAAGACCCCAUGAACCUUUACUGCAACUUGGCAGUGAUUUUCGGGUUGUUCUGCGUAGGAUAGGUGGGAGGCUUUGAAGCCGGGCUUCCGGGUUCGGCAGAGCCAACGUUGAAAUACCACCCUGAAUAAUCUGGAAAUCUAACCUGCGCCCAUGAUCUGGGCGAGGGACACUGCCUGGUUGGCAGUUUGACUGGGGCGGUCGCCUCCUAAAUUGUAACGGAGGCGUGCGACGGUUCCCUCAGGCUGAUUGGAAACCAGCCGUAGAGUGCAAACGCAUAAGGGAGCUUUACUGCGAGACUGACAAGUCGAACAGUUGCGAAAGCAGGUGUUAGUGAUCCGGUGGUACCACAUGGAAGGGCCAUCGCUCAUCGGAUAAAAGGUACUCUGGGGAUAACAGGCUGAUCGCGCCUGAGAGUUCACAUCGGCGGCGCGGUUUGGCACCUCGAUGUCGGCUCAUCGCAUCCUGGGGCUGGAGCAGGUCCCAAGGGUUUGGCUGUUCGCCAAUUAAAGCGGUACGCGAGCUGGGUUUAAAACGUCGUGAGACAGUUUGGUCCCUAUCUUCCGUGGGCGCAGGACACUUGAGAGGAGCUAUCCAUAGUACGAGAGGACCUGGAUGGACGAACCUCUGGUGCUCCGGUUGUCACGCCAGUGGCAUAGCCGGGUAGCCAUGUUCGGAACAGAUAACCGCUGAAGGCAUAUAAGCGGGAAGCUGGCCUCAAGACUAGGUGUCCCUGACGCAAGUCACUAAAGGCCCCUCGAAGACUACGAGGUUGAUAGGCUCGGUGUGGAAGCGCUGCGAGGCGUGGAGCUAACGAGUACUAAUAGGCCGUGCGACUUGACCU